GACUCGGUGGCGAAAAGUAUCGCGUCCGCUGCACUUGAACUCUAAAGCUCGAGCUUAACCAGCGGAAGGCGCCUGUUCGAUUCAGGCCCGAGUCA